CGCCGCCGCCCCCCCGCGCUGCCCCUCUUAAAGGGGCCGCGCCCGUCCCCGCGCUCCCAAACCGCGAGAGCUGCGGGAACACCAGGGCCCGGGGGCGACCCUGCACCCCGGGCUGCCCUUCUGGACAUCCCUGCACCCCGGGCUGUCCUUCUGGACAUCCCUGCACCCCGGGCUGUCCUUGUCCGGACGCCACGGAGCGGCCGCGGGGCUGCGCUCCGCAGAGUCCCGCGCGGAGCGGGGCGGUCACUGUCCCGUGCCCCGAGCGCUCCCGGGCACGGCCGCACGGCCCGGCCGUGCCCUCAGCGGGGAAGCCCAGCACGGGGCCGGGGAGGGGCAGCCGGCCCGGAGCAGCCCCAGCCGGGCUCACGGGAGCUGCGCCCGGAGCAUCCCUGCUCCCCGCGGGCUGCGCCGAGCCCGCCGACAGCACCCGGGCGGAUGGCGGCGAGUUCGGAUGUGGCCCAGCACAUCCCAGCAGCCAGGGAAGGAAGCUCUUGGAGCGCUCAGCGCACCCGCGGAGGGCGGGAGUGUGAUUUAACCCCUUCCGGCAGGAGUUACCUGGGUUGUGAAAGUCCCAUAUCAAAGCCUCCUCUCCGUGCAGGACGUGGAGUUUUGGCAGCUCCUUGAGUAGGAUGAGGAGGAUGAAGGCACAUCUGUUCUCCAUACCCAUCAGUAAGAACCAGCAGUAAGAGAAGGCAGCACACUGCAGCAUUAUCAGCAACUGACAGAAGAGGAAGGCAGGUGACAAGCCAGCCUUUAGAGAGAUGAGCAAUUUGGCUUUUGAGUGCCUGGGCUUCAACAUUCCUGCCUGUAGUCCCAAAAUUGAGCAGAAAACUUGCAAGGUCUUUCUGGACCAUCAGCAUCUGUGAUCACAGUGAUGAAAUGCUGCCUUGAUGGUGUGAGGGAAGGUGUGAGAGGAGACACAUUUUUGGGAAUCUGUCACUCUGGGUGGGGUCAUUCUCACCCCCUGCCUAUUCUCCUUUUCUUUUAGAUUUCCUACAAAUUGGUCAAUGGAGCCAUGAAUUGUAUUUGAUACAAUGCACAGGGAUUUUUUAGCUUAGCCAGCUGCCUGACACAGACAGCAGUCACGUCUUCUGCUGGACCCAAAAGCACUUUUCUGGAGAGGAUUUCUCCUGCUCACUAGGACUGUUUUCAUAGAAAUAAAGAUAACCUUUUGCUUCUUUUAAAGUGUUUUCA